UACAUGGGGUGCAAACGUUGCUCGGAAUUAUUGGGCGUAAAGCGCGCGUAGGCGGUUACUUAAGUCGGAUGUGAAAGCCCUCGGCUUAACUGAGGAAGUGCAUCCGAAACUGAGUAGCUAGAGUACGAAAGAGGGUCGCGGAAUUCCCGGUGUAGAGGUGAAAUUCGUAGAUAUCGGGAGGAACACCGGUGGCGAAGGCGGCGACCUGGGUCGAGACUGACGCUGAGGCGCGACAGCGUGGGGAGCAAACAGG
rnacentral:rRNA from 1 species